rnacentral:lncRNA from 1 species
AUGAACUCCCGGUACCGAGCUGAGAGCCGUCCAUUUAUCCUCCAUAGAAAAGAGUGCGCGUCCGAAACCAUGAGCAGCAUCACCUCCCCUUCUUCAUCUGCAUUAUUAAGCCAGUUUGUGCAGUUCAAUAAGGACUGUCGACUCACUGCAAAAGGGGGUGAAACCAGACCUCAUCUCUCCCGCUGCAUGCUGGGAAAGGCUGCGUUCCUGUGCAUCAUCAAAGGACGGAUCGCUUUGAAGUGAACGCCGCAAGGAGCCGCGACGACACACUGGUGCACACUGCGGUGGAAGCUGCCACCUCCCACGGCAACAAAUUACAGACCAGAUUCCAGUGACAAGCUGCAAAUAGGAUCUAAUCCUCUUACAUUCUUACAUUCAAAAUGCAAAUCUCCGUUCUGUGCUCAUUUCAAUUUAGUGUAAUAAAGUUGUGUUCAAACAGCAAAUAAAUAUGCUAAUGUAUUGUGAUAUAUACUAACUUGGUGUGUAUUCCUUCAAGUGUCAUUAUAAAGAGUAUUUAUAGGCACAUUUGCAUACAGCGAAGAUUCCCUCUGCCUCUGUGUUUGUCUGUAUUAGCAGAGGAUUACCGACUCCUUGGGUCUGGCUGCUCAAAUGUGACGCGACUAGAAAAAAGGCCUCUGCUCCAGCUGGGGGCGCAGGUUUAGUCGGCCCACCUCUGAGGGUUAGGGGGUUCCAAAAUUAGAAACCUUUUCUGACGGCAGCUCCCAGGUGUGAGAAUAUACCACUUUAAAAAAGAGUCUCGGAUCAAGCGGAUGCCUGCGGAGGUUAAAAAUCGUGAAAACCACCUAAAAACCGCCGCACCCCUAAAGCUAAGGGAAGUAACGGAUAAAUAAUAUUUCCAAUUCCCUGGAGUUCCCUGGGUUUUUGUGCUGAAGAGCACCACUUUGUGGAACAUAGCCACAGUGUUCCGUACUUCCGUACUCCAAAAUGGAGUAAAAGAAAAGAACUUAGUGGACAGAAGUGGAAGAAUGAGGUCCAGGUGUGGAAGAAGCAUCACAAAUGCUGCUGGAGUUCAUGUUGGCACAUACGGAACCACUUGAAAAACUUAUAAGAAGCUGAACCACAACAGUUUCAGCGGCUCUGGAACUUUUUGAAACACGAACCAUAUUUAUUUACUUGGGUAAACAAAUCCCUGUUGCUAAAACUUCCUGGAAACAUUAGCCGCAAAGUCGCUGUCGCUUGAUGAACUGAUGCAGCUGAUAAAUAUUUGAGGCCGUUGCUGGUUUGCACACUUGGCACGGAGAGGCCGUCGGACAUGUGCAAACCAAUCAGAGCGUUCCGACCUCUCUGCACAAAUAACAUGUUUACCUCACUCCAGUUACCCCCAAAACCCUUCAGUACCACAUGUUCUUGCAGCUUGUUGGGCAGUUUUUUCCCCACAUCGGUGGUGCAUCUGUAGGUUAUCCAACAAAUUAAAGUCAUUAAACAGAGAAAGAAUUGCAACAAUACCCACAAAUUAGUGAGAAGAACACACGUGUGGUUCAGAAGGCACCAGAGCUGUGGAACAAAUAUUAGUGACACCCCUGAUAUGUUGCUAACGUGAGUGAAUAGGUGAAGGUCAGAGUAGGACAGGUGGGGGGCAUCUGGGAGAGAAUCGUGGAAUGAACCCACUCCGGAGGGUGGAUGAAGACUUUAAUCCCGAUGAUACACUUAUGAAUCAUCAGAGGUUCCAAAUAUUGUAAGAGCGCGCCGGUUUUACAGCGUCGCCCCCGGUGAUGUGAGGAAACAAAAGCGGCGGCGGCGGGAUCCCUCACAGCAGGGAGCAGGUUUAACGGCUCACGCUGCGUUUUCUCGGCGCCCCUGGAGACGACGGCAGCGCGCUCAGACGGCGCUCUGCGAUCAGAAUACCCGCAUUUUGAUCACCGCCAUCUAUUUUCCAGCAGAAUGGAAAUGAGAGGUGAAGCCGGGGCGUGGAAAUGUGACGGAGUGGACAAGAUUGCACAACGGAUGCGACGCCCCCUUUGUUUGAAAUGAAGCACCUCUGAUUGUGCAGCUCAACAAGGGGGGGUCGUAAAUUAUUCAGGCGCUCUCUGAUGGCUGCCCAUUUAUAAUUGGCCCAUUAGGACUGGCUGGACACAUUUCUCGCUGCUCUGCCCGCUUUAGAACGACAGAGAGGAAACAUGUGACCUCCGUGUAAGAUUCCGCCUUCACUCUAAUGCUUAAUUUAUUCAUUACCGUCCAUCUGUAUUGGGAGCCGCGAUAAUAAACAGCGGAGUAUCGGGAGAAACGUGAAAACGGAGGAUUAUUACAGCCCAACAAGGUGAACUGUGGCUUCUCCGCCACCUUCACAGUCCCGUCACGUCACAGAAAAACAAAAACAGUGGAGGCAGUAGUGGCCAGCGGUGGCAGCGCCGCUUCCUGUAUUGUAUCAGCCGGAGGGCUUCUCACAGCACCAUUUGUUCCACACUCCCUUUCAUUCACGCCCAUGUGUGCUCGUGCUGAAAUGGCUGCCAGAAAACAGGGGUCUGAAUGACCCCUCUGUGCGUUUCUCCGCAACCGCCGCUGGAACAGGCGUCGCGCAUUUGUGGAUGCGGUCGCUUUGUUUAUUUAUUUUUUUUAAAUGAUGCAGGAGGAGGCUGAAGCCACGCGGCCGAGCCCCUGCAGGUGCAGGACGUGGGUCGGUUCAGAUGAGGAUCAUCAAGGCCUGAAAUGAGGCCCAUCAGAAUUUUGUACGCUGUUAAUUUUACAGGCCGUCAGUGGUGAGAUGGAGUUCAAACGAUCGACAGGUUAGGGUUAGGGUUAGCCGAGGGGCAGCCGAUCCAUCCUUCUGGGCGUGUAUUACAUGGACUUCCGGGGAAAGGAAACAGCUUUUAACGUCAGAUUAUGUCGUGAUAAUUUGCCCCGGCAUCGUCGGAAUAAUGCGAUUAAUGCAUUAUUGGCACCGUAAAGCAAAUCCCAGUUGGCGUAUUAUUAUAAAGGUUUGUGACACAGCUGCUGUUGCUGACUUAUUUAUUUAAUUCAGGUCCAGUCAAGAUAUGUAAUAUGCCGUCAUGAUAUUAGCCUAAUUAAUAUUUUAUAAGCACACACCAUAUGUGCAGGUUGUGGGUUGUAAAUUAUGGAGAUAAUAUUCCACUCCUGCCACACACUGUGUAUGCAGAAGCUAAACUCCCCCUGACUGUUAAUGCCUUUAGCAUUCCUGUUAGCAGGUUUUCAGCUCAACUUUGUUUUAACGUGUCUUUAAAAAAAAAAAAAAAAAUUGCUUAUAAAGCCGACAGACA